GACGUAGGAGGCGAGCGUUGUCCGGAUUCAUUGGGCGUAAAGAGCACGCAGGCGGUUUGGCAAGUCGGAUGUGAAAACCCGGAGCUCAACUCCGGACCUGCAUCCGAAACUGCCCGACUAGAGGUAGGUAGGGGAGAUCGGAAUUCCUGGUGUAGCGGUGAAAUGCGCAGAUAGUCGGGAGGAACACCGGUGGCGAAGGCGGUUCUCUGGGCCUUACCUGACGCUGAGGAGCGAAAGCGUGGGGAGCGAACAGG
rnacentral:rRNA from 1 species